rnacentral:lncRNA from 1 species
UUUGCUUGUCCUCAAGCAAAACACACAGGGCAGUCUUAUGAAAGAGGUUUGAAAACGGCAGGGACUCACAGAUUUAAAACUCAGAAUCAACACCUUAGAAAGCCAUAAUCUCAGAAGUACACUAUAUCAUAUCCGAGUCUAGCAACCAAAUUCACCUAGUCAACAACUUUAGCAAAUCAUGUUUGACAAUCAAUCCUCUUCACCAACCUCAAUUCUUGAAUAAAUAAAAGUGUAGGCUUUACCUUGGGAGUAUCGAUCACAUGAUGCA